UUUCCUUUUAUUUUUAGAAAUAACCUAUUCAGUUGUUAAAAUUCCUUAUUCCGGGCUGGGUACGGUGGCUCACACCUAUAACCCCAACACUUUGGGAGGCCAGCGCAGGUGGAGGUUGCAGUGAACCGAGAUCGCACCAUUGCACUCCAGCCUGGGCAACAAGAGAAACUCCAGCUCAAAAAAAAAAAAAAAAAAAGAAAGAAAGAAAGAAAGAAAAAGAAAACAGGAUUGGGCUAUUUCAACAUCAGGGUCCCAUUUAAUACCCUCUUAAAACAUCAGCUUUCCUUCCAGAGACUGACCAUUGAGAAAGCAGUACUGCUGACAUAGAUCCUGCCUACUUAUAAAUCAUAAUGGUUG
rnacentral:sRNA from 1 species